GUUCAGUGAUGUAUGACAAAUGUCUGACCUGAAAACUACUGUGGACAUGUUUACUCACUGAGCAA
ensembl:snoRNA Small nucleolar RNA SNORD78